rnacentral:lncRNA from 1 species
AUGGGGGAAAAAAAAAAGCCAUAUUAUUCAAGAAACAAACAAAUAAACCAAAUUCACAAUGACCCUGGUCCACAGGGAACCCCAGACUGCCUCAUUUUCUAUCGUAACUCACAAACCUUGAAAAACAUCUUGGCCUGGAAAGCUCUCAGCACUGCAGGCUUUGGAGAAGGUCACAGCCACCAACUUCUUGUCUUCAUCCUGGACUUCAUCCUUCAUGCUGGAGCUGGAGGAAGCUCAAUGAUAAUUUAUAUCAGGAGCUAUAAAUCCCCAGACCACAGGAAAUGGCAUCAUCAAUUUCCAUCAAUUUUACUGCUGCACAAAUAAUGUGCUGCUAUAGUUCUUCCACAGGUCAGUUCCUGCAUGAGGUACAUUGACUGCAGGGAUGUAAACUGUAAAUAAACAGUGGCAUAAUUUAUCUUCUCUGAUAUUA